rnacentral:rRNA from 1 species
UACAGAGGGGGCAAGCGUUGUUCGGAAUUACUGGGCGUAAAGGGCGCGUAGGCGGCCUUCUAAGUCGAACGUGAAAUCCCCGGGCUCAACCCGGGAACUGCGUCCGAUACUGGAAGGCUUGAAUCCGGGAGAGGGAUGUGGAAUUCCAGGUGUAGCGGUGAAAUGCGUAGAUAUCUGGAGGAACACCGGUAGCGAAGGCGACAUCCUGGACCGGUAUUGACGCUGAGGCGCGAAAGCCAGGGGAGCAAACGGG